UGGUUUCUCUCGAGACUUUCUCACGGGCUGAUGCAAAAUUCAGAUAAAAUGAUUUCGGGUCUGUGGUAGGUCGGCAGUUGAACCAAAACGCUGUAAACGUGAGGACGCAUAUCUUUCGAGUCCUAGAAGACUUUACUCCAUGCUGCGCUCCUAAGAUAAGAUGCCCUUCAAGCAGGCUUGGGUUGUUUAUAGCUUCGGAUCUGCUCUCUUUGUGGUUCUUUACGUUAGAGUACUUAAUGAGGUAAUAACAAGAAGUUUGCGCGCACGGCCAAGAUAACGCCGCCAUCCCUGUACCUCAUUCUGAUAAAAAGGGAGAUCUCUUUACGACGGAAGUACAAGUGGAGUGUACAAGAUAAAAUCACCGCUUAUUCAAGCACGUAACAGCCACACUAAUUACUUGCGACAAACUUAGCCUUUAACAAGCGGUCUCUCAGCCGUGAUCAAGACUACUUAUUGAAAAUUAAGACUUUUGCAAUAUAAACGAGCACAAAGCGGUGGUAACGAAAAACUAGACGCGAGAAUAGGGGAAGGGGGACAAUACACAUUGUUUUUUUGCACUGUUCUGGUUCUUAUUAGCGAUAAUGGGGCUAGUGGGACUAUUGGCUAGGCGCCACUUUCCCGGCUCGAGCGCUUAAUCCGUACGAUAGUGACUGUAGCGACUUGCACCGACUUGACGACGCAAUACAAAAUGUUGCUGAGUGCUUGCAGCGUGUUUAAAGCUACUGAAAGUAUUGGCUGUACACGGAGAAGAUUAUUAUUUCCGUCUAAUCAAUUUCUACUCGUUAUUUCGUUAUCAGUGGAUCGUAAUUAGGCCCGUAAUCAGAUAGAACCGCCCGUAUAUGUACGUUAAUUUCACGCCAAAUUACGGUGCGUGCAAAUGAAACGGGCUUAAUGUAUCGAGCCAUGUGCUAAUUAAAGGGAGAGUGAAAAGUACAACUCGCAGCUCACACACAGAGCUGUUCAUUUCGUCUGUUCGUCACACAGCUAAUGAACGCUGGCAGUUUGCUAGCGGCAAAUGAAAUUGCUUUGAGCUUCAUCAAAUAAACUUGGUUGUAUUUAACGAACUAGUGCUCACAAUGGGUGAAGUAUCUUUGAGUAAUUAGAAGUCUCAUUAGCUUUAGGUUUCGGAGGAAUCAAUUCUAUUGUGGUAUUUGUCUUUCGUUCACACUUUGAUCUCACACGUUAUAUAGAAGAACACAAAAAUCCAAACAUAAAGCAAACGAUACCGCUUCACAUACCCCUCAAAGGGUAUCAAAGGCCAACUGUAGUACUCUUCAUGAAUGGGGUUUUUAUUCAAGGUACUAAAUUAACUGAUAUUCAGUUUUGACAGACAAUUAAUUUCAUUGACGUGUUAGAUGACUGAAGUUGAACCGUGCGUAUUGUUAUGUCAUAAUUCAUAUACAGAUACAAUUUGUCUCUAGUUUACACCUACCAUUAGUUGAAAAUGGCACUACGUUGUCGAAGCAAUAAUAACCCACGCUAUCCCCAGAAGCUCUUUCGUAAACAAAACAUCAAUAUGUAUUCAGAGAUUUCACAAACUUUAAAGCAUAAAAAAUAAUGUGGGUUAAUAACCAUCUACCAUUUAAUCAGAGAGCUAGAAUAUUCUACCCUGCGUUCAGUUACAAAUAUCAAAAUACCAUUUAACAUAACUCCGUUUUUAGCAUCUCCAUAUUUUAUUGCAAUUACUGGUAUAAUUAGUUGAUUUGGGAUAUUAUCGUACAGAUAAUUAUCGCAUCAAAGGUAAUCGUCUUACAUGAAAGCAAAGGUAAGGUAACUAUGAGAGCAAUUUCAAGACUGAUGGUGACAUUCUACUUGUAAACUCCACUUGAAAAAGUUCGGACUCUUUUUCUUAAAACAGGUGUUUGGAGCACUACAGGUCUUGUGUUGUUAAGAAUCUGCUGUUGUGAAAUUACCCAUUGUAUAAUUUGGUAUUUUAUCGGAUUAAAAUGCCGAACAAAAGA